rnacentral:misc_RNA from 1 species
GCAAACUUGGUCAUUUAGAGGAAGUAAAAGUCGUAACAAGGUUUCCGUAGGUGAACCUGCGGAAGGAUCAUUAACAAAAUCAAAAACAAACAAUGUGCGAAACGCGGCUACUGGUGGGCUGGCGUGUGGGAGCUGGGGAUGUGUCGAGCGAUGCAGCGCAAGUGCCUACAUGGCGCGUGCGUACACGUCUACAUGGCGCGUGCGUACACGUCUAUAUGGCGCGUGCAAUGCAGCGUACACGACAAUCCAUACGGCGCCCGUCACCCAGCCACCCGGCUAGCUUUCUAUACACGCUCAAGAUGCUCUAUUUUAUAUCAUCAUACAACACUUUUAACAAUGGAUCUCUUGGCUCUUGCAUCGAUGAAGAACGCAGC